AGACCCGAAACCCGGUGAUCUAGCCAUGGGCAGGUUGAAGGUUGGGUAACACUAACUGGAGGACCGAACCGACUAAUGUUGAAAAAUUAGCGGAUGACCUGUGGCUGGGGGUGAAAGGCCAAUCAAACCGGGAGAUAGCUGGUUCUCCCCGAAAGCUAUUUAGGUAGCGCCUCGUGAAUUCAUCUCCGGGGGUAGAGCACUGUUUCGGCUAGGGGGCCAUCCCGGCUUACCAACCCGAUGCAAACUGCGAAUACCGGAGAAUGUUAUCACGGGAGACACACGGCGGGUGCUAACGUCCGUCGUGAAGAGGGAAACAACCCAGACCGCCAGCUAAGGUCCCAAAGUCAUGGUUAAGUGGGAAACGAUGUGGGAAGGCCCAGACAGCCAGGAUGUUGGCUUAGAAGCAGCCAUCAUUUAAAGAAAGCGUAAUAGCUCACUGGUCGAGUCGGCCUGCGCGGAAGAUGUAACGGGGCUAAACCAUGCACCGAAGCUGCGGCAGCGAACGUAUCACU
rnacentral:rRNA from 1 species